CCAGCGGUCCGGCCGGGAACUCAAAGGAGACUGCCAGUGAUAAACUGGAGGAAGGUGGGGAUGACGUCAAGUCAUCAUGGCCCUUACGACCAGGGCUACACACGUGAUACAAUGGCGCAUACAAAGAGAAGCGACCUCGGGAGAGCAAGCGGACCUCAUAAAGUGCGUCGUAGUCCGGAUUGGAGUCUGCAACUCGACUCCAUGAAGUCGGAAUCGUAGUAAUCGUGGAUCAGAAUGCCACGGUGAAUACGUUC
rnacentral:rRNA from 1 species